rnacentral:rRNA from 1 species
GUUAUUGGUCAAGCUACAAAGGGCUCACGGAGGAUACCUAGGCACACAGAGGCGAUGAAGGACGUGGUUACCUGCGAUAAGUCUCGGGGAGUUGGAAGCACACUUUGAUCCGGGAAUUUCCGAAUGGGGCAACCCCUUGAACGACCAACUGAAUAUAUAGGUUGGUGCGAGCUAACCCAGCGAACUGAAACAUCUUAGUAGCUGGAGGAAGAGAAAGUAAAUAACGACUCCCUCAGUAGCGGCGAGCGAACGGGGAAUAGCCCAAACCGAUAGUCUUGACUAUCGGGGUUGUGGGACAGCAAUAUGGAUCAACAAUUCUAGAAGAAACGUUUGAAUGGCGUGCCAUAGAGGGUGAAAGCCCCGUAAUUGAAAGAUGAGUUGACCUAGCUGUAUCCCGAGUAGCACGGAGCACGUGGAAUUCCGUGUGAAUCUGCGAGGACCACCUCGUAAGGCUAAGUACUACUGUGUGACCGAUAGUGAAACAGUACCGCGAGGGAAAGGUGAAAAGAACCCCGGGAGGGGAGUGAAAUAGAACAUGAAACCGUGAGCUUACAAGCAAUGGGAGCCCGACUAAUCGGGUGACCGUGUGCCUGUUGAAGAAUGAGCCGGCGACUUAUAGGCACUGGCGGGUUAAACCGGAAAUGGUGGAGCCACAGCGAAAGCGAGUCUUAAUAGGGCGUUUGUCAGUGUUUAUAGACCCGAACCCUGGUGAUCUAACCAUGGCCAGGAUGAAGCUUGGGUGAUACCAAGUGGAGGUCCGAACCGACUGAAGUUGAAAAUUCAGCGGAUGAGCUGUGGUUAGGGGUGAAAUGCCAAUCGAACCAGGAGCUAGCUGGUUCUCCCCGAAAUACGUUGAGGCGUAGCGUCUAGUGCUCCAGCAGGGGGGUAAAGCAACCAUUUCGGUGCGGGCUGCGAAAGCGGUACCAAAUCGAUAUGAACUCUGAAUACCCUGUGUGUAACUAGGCAGUCAGACUGUGGGGGAUAAGCUCCAUAGUCAAGAGGGAAACAGCCCAGACCGCCAGCUAAGGUCCCAAAAUUAACGCUAAGUGAUAAAGGAGGUGGGAUUGCCCAGACAACCAGGAGGUUUGCCUAGAAGCAGCCAUCCUCAAAGGAGUGCGUAAUAGCUCACUGGUCGAGCGAUCCUGCGCCGAAAAUGAAUGGGGCUAAGCGUUAUACCGAAGCUGCGGAUAAAUUUAUUUAUGGUAGGGGAGCGUUCUAUGUUGGGUGAAGCGUUAGCGUAAGCGGACGUGGACGGCAUAGAAGUGAGAAUGUCGGCUUGAGUAGCGAAAACAUGGGUGAGAAUCCCAUGCCCCGAAACCCUAAGGGUUCCUCCGGCAGGCUCGUCCGCGGAGGGUUAGUCUGGACCUAAGGCGAGGCCGAAAGGCGUAGUCGAUGGAUAACAGGUCAAUAUUCCUGUACCAGUUAUGUUUUCGGAAGGGGGACGGAGAAGGCUAGCCAGGCCAGAUGUUGGUUACUGGUUCAAGCGUUCAAGGCUUUGAGAGAUGGAGAAAACAUCUUGAGCUGAGGCGUGAGUACGAGCUACUACGGUAGCGAAGUUGGUGAUGUCAUGCUUCCAAGAAAAGCCCUAUACCCGUUAAGACAUAAAUGCCAGUACCCGAAACCGACACAGGUGGGGUGGUAGAGAAUACCGAGGGGCGCGAGAUAACUCUCUCUAAGGAACUCGGCAAAAUGGCCCCGUAACUUCGGGAGAAGGGGUGCCAGCGAGAGCUGGUCGCAGUGAAGAGGCGCAAGCGACUGUUUACCAAAAACACAGGUCUCCGCUAAGUCGCAAGACGAUGUAUGGGGGCUGACACCUGCCCAGUGCCGGAAGGUUAAGGAAGCUGGUUAGCUUUUAGCAAAGCUAGCGACUGAAGCCCCGGUGAACGGCGGCCGUAACUAUAACGGUCCUAAGGUA